AUUGAACGCUGGCGGCAGGCCUAACACAUGCAAGUCGAACGGUAACAGGAAGAAUCUUGCUUCUUUGCUGACGAGUGGCGGACGGGUGAGUAAUGUCUGGUAAACUGCCUGAUGGAGGGGGAUAACUACUGGAAACGUUAGCUAAUACCGCAUAACGUCUCAAUACCAAAGAGGGGGACCUUCUCUCCUCUUGCCGUCGGAUGUGCCCAGAUGGGAUUAGCUAGUAGUUGGUGUAACGGCUCACCUAGGCGACGAUCCCUAGCUGGUCUGAGAGGAUGACCAGCCACACGGGAACUGAGACAGGGUAGAGACACCGACGGGAGGCCGCAGUGGGGAAUAUUGCACAAUGGGCGAAAGCCUGAUGCAGCCAUGCCGCGUGUAUGAAGAAGGCCUUAGGGUGGUAAAGUACUUUCAGCGGGGAGGAAGGGAGUAAAGUUAAUACCUUAGCUCAUUGACGUUACCCGAAGAAGAAGCACCGGCUAACUCCGUG
rnacentral:rRNA from 1 species